rnacentral:sRNA from 1 species
AUGAAUGCCGCGGCCCUAGACAGCCGACCCUCCUUAGUGCCGGUCACCAUUUCCGGAGGGUGCUUGGUUUAUGGUAUGAAGGAGGCCCGCAUCCCAUUGAGCAAGGGCUGGGCUGUGGGGGAGAUAGGCUUGGACUACUCUGACAAAGAACAUCACCCCCAGCAAAAGUUUAUCCUUGCGGAAUUUUCUGCAGAGUUGAUCCAUCCUCCAAUAUGGUGUUGCAUCGUCUAUCCAGGCACCCAUCUACCUGCACUGCUUUGUAGGGGGCCCAGCGCAGACCAAACUCUGGGAUCUAAAACUAGUGGAGACCAACAGUCCAUACCUGCCAUGUGGGGUUGGCUGACCAAUGACGCUGAAACAUAUUGGAAAGGUCUACCAAUUGGUUGCGACUUGUAUUCUCCCAGGAUAUUUCUACAUUCUUUUAAGUUUGUUUCGAGCGAAGGCAUCGCUAUGAAAGAGAGACCAUGGACAGUCAGAAGAGACGAGAGGGCCUUGAAUCAUCGAGCUCCCAUUCCGGACAGCCGUUGCCUGUGA